GGAUGCGAGGGCGAUCUGGCUGCAACAUCUGUUACCCAAUUGAUUGCCAGGGUUGAUGGGCUGAUCUGGCUGGUUAGGCAGGUGUCCCCCUUCCUCUCUCUCCGCUCCAUGUGCGUCCCUCCACAAGCUGAGUGUUCAGUCGAAGAGGAUGACCACCCCUAUAGAGGAGGGCCAUUUCCUCAGUCAAGGGUAUACAAGUAGCUCUCAAGUUAACAAGCUCGCAAGACAACCCUGUGCCAAUUCAUGUGACUGAGCAAAAGGUUAAAAAAAAAAAAUUCACCUCUGUCCUAAAAAACCUGUGUUGUC
rnacentral:sRNA from 1 species